GGGAUUAGGGUUCCCCCUCUGUCUUCCUCUGCGCUGCGACAGAAGCUUAAAGUGACGAUCCGAUCUACAUAACGUCUGCACCAUCCAUAACUCAGAGGUUUUGGCAAUGGCGAGAUUCAACACCAGUAGAUUCCUCACACCAUCGAGGCAAGAGAAAAUCAUAAGCUGCAUAUGGUAUUUGGUCGUAUUUGUUUCCUUCAUCAUUUGUUUUCGUUUAAGUGAAUUAUAUAGCUUGAGCAGUAGCAAAUAUUGUUUCUUUCUGUUCUUUAUAUUUGGUACGAAAUUGCUUUUGUUCUUUUGUAAGGUCUCUGGAUCACUGAUUGUUACCUUCUUUUUUGUUUCAAGUACUUCCCUUUAUAAGAAAUCUUUUGUUUGCUCUAUAAAUCUCUCCAAAACCAUUAAAUUGCAUCCUUUAUUUUUAUUCUGCAGAUGGUACUCCGAGAAGACUGUGUUGCUGAGUUAAACAAUUACAUAGACCCUCUCUACCGGAGAAUUUAGAUGGAAAACUUCUGACUUGCAUUUUGGAGGUUGAUGGUAAGCUGAAUCCAUGAAAGUGCAGUACCGAAUCAGGCAGGGUCUUAAGAACGCUGAUUAGCAGAGCAUACUUGAUGAUUUAAACAAGCAUGACCCAGGGUUCACACAGCCCUCUGUUUCAGAGGCAAGGCCACAAGUGGUUCCAACCAACCUGGACUGCCGCUGGUAAUCACUAAUCCGGGUACAACAACUGUUUUUUUUUAUCACGCUGCUUUCUCAGCCUUCAUUUAAUUGUUUUUUCUAACUUAUGUUUCUCUCAAGUCAAUUACACUUAACAAAUAUGCUCAUGGUGUGCAGAAUGUGUCGAUUUUGGCCUAAUUAGAGGUCUUCGUCCAAAAUCACAUUUUGGGUUCAAGUUUGGUACCAUGCAUGCUGGUACUGGUCAGUAGGAAGACUUUGGACGCUAUAAUUUUGUUGAUGAGCUCGAGAUUCUGAAACGGUCGACCAUGAAUCCUUUGGUGUUGGGUGCCACAUCUGGCAGUGACCUACAAUAUAACGCAGUACAGUGGUGUUAGGAAACUGGAGACUGUUACAGUGGCGGAGGUGAAUGCCUACGUUCUGAACUCGCCCCUAAGAAGAUUUACUGAUCCAAAGGGGUCAGCUGGUCAGGAAACCCAACAAGAAAGGCCCGAAGAGCUUAGUUUCCUUCAUGGAGCACUGUCAUUAAACCACUCUAUCGUUACUCCCAGUGCUUAAUAUUAUUUCUAUAAAUCUUAUGCUAUGCAAAUAAGGGAUUGGGCACUUUGCGUUUUUGUCUCACUUCUGAUUUUGAUACUUCCUGAAUUUUU